GGGCCCGUAGCUCAGGCAGGUAGAGCGCCGGGCUUUUAACCCGGUGGUCAGGGGUUCGAUUCCCCUCGGGCCCGCCA
rnacentral:tRNA from 2 species